CCCCUAGAUGUUCUGGGCCGCACGCGCGCUACACUGAACAGUUCAACAAGUCUUAACCUUGGCCGAUAGGUCUGGGUAAUCUUUGAACGAUGUUCGUGAUUGGGAUAGACCUUUGCAAUUAUGGGUCUUCAACGAGGAAUUCCUAGUAAACGCAAGUCAUCAGCUUGCAUUGAUUACGUCCCUGCCCUUUGUACACACCGCCCGUCGCACCUACCGAUUGAAUGGUCCGGUGAAAUCUCGGGACGGCGGCUUGGUCGCUUGCGUCCGACUGCUGAAACUUGAUUAAACCAUAUCAUUUAGAGGAAGGUGAAGUCGUAACA
rnacentral:rRNA from 1 species